CUAACAUUUAUCCCCCCCCCCCAAAAAAAAGGUAAUAAAAGAACAUGGAAAUAUACGUUUUAUGCUAAUUAAAUUCUCUUUUAUGAAGAACAUGAUUUAAUAUUUAUAUUCAGGCUUUGCAAAUUAGUUUCUAUGACUAAAAAAAUUAUUAACUGCGUACUUUUAUAUUCAAGUAUUUUCCUCUAAUGAAAGCGAUGCAUGCGAAUUUCCCAAACACCUGUAACUUUUUGGUGUUAUUUUAUUUCAUUUUUCUUCAGUCAAACUGUCAUUGCAUUGUUUCUCUUUGUUAAAAAGAAAUCACGUGACCGCAACGUCAUUUAGUCUCUUAGCAACCCUAAUUUUUUCAGGGCAUUCUUCAAUGCCUAGCAAUAUUUGCUUUUACAACACCAAAUCUCAUGGUCAAUAACUGGAUUACCCAUACGUGGGAAUUCAGUGAAGGAAAAAUCUUCAACUAAUAUGGAAUUUUCUCCUUCUUUAUCAAGAGCUUCAGUCAAAUCAGUGUCUUCCAAUUAUUCUGUAGAGGAGUUGCAAGAAAAAAUAGGUGAGCUGAGAAAACAGCACAGCCAAAAUGUGGGUGAAUUUCUCAAAGUUCAAACUAUACAAAGAGAACGGAUGAUACAGUGUUUGGAAGAAAAACUAGCCGCUCGACGAGAUAAAAGAGAAAGAAAAGUAGAACAGAUACCACCUGUUUCGAUUUAGUACUGACUGAUUGUUCAGAUUUUGUAUUAUAUUUCACCAAUGAUUAGACAUGAAUUGUGAUACAUGCUUUAAGGUUGUUAUACGUAGUGUUUGGUUACUUUUUUUAAGUAAGCUCACGAGACUGAAACUUGGUGUGUUCAUCAAAGUAACUAUCAUACUAACAGUCUGCUUAUUAUACCUUUUAGAACAGAUGAUUUCUGGAUGCAAAGUAUAUUCAGUUAAUCAAAGUUUCAUAUAUGUAACAAGUGCCGUGUGUAAAAUCAGCAUAAAAAUGUUUCGCCAAAUAAAGUCAUGCAUGAAGAUUUAAUGAAAAUAUAUGAUAAGUGGAAAUUAUAUAAGGCAUUUCUACUGUUUAUGGUUGCCAUAUUGGCAAACUUUGAAAGCGUUUAACCAACACCUCCUAGAAUAAGGAAGGCCUCAGCACGGAUCAAAUUAGUAGUCCGAUGUGACGAAGUUAACUGCGCAGUUGAUGAAAAAUAAGAAAGAUGUCAUUACGUUUGGGGUACUAAGCUGCGCAGUGGUUGAAAAUACGAAAUAAGUCAUUACGUUUGGACUACUAAAGGAUAUUUAUGGUAACCCGUGCAGAGGCCUACUCUUUUCUAGGAGGUGUUGGUUUAACUCGGUUAAAAGAUUCAAGCAGUUCAAAGAAUUUUCGUUAAAAGUCUUGGUGUCACUUACAUUUACUCCAUUUUUUUAAAUUUUUUAGAAGUGUAAAUUUUUUUUAAUAAUUGAAAACUGGCUGUUACAAACGUAACAUAUUGUGUUACGCCUGCAACAUCUUGUUUUUAAUUUUAAGCAAAUCAAACUUAUUAAAAAUUGGAAUAAUGCGAAGAACAAACUUAUUCUCAUAAAAAUUAUUAUGACUGCUCAAAGUUUUCAACUGAGUUAUAUGCUUUUAAUUCAGCAAAUUAGACAUUUGUGAAUAGUGACAUUACACUAUAGAAUGUGCAAGAUGUUUUCUAAGUACCCCUCUUACCAUGUCUCGUAUUUUUGUAAUGCUUAUUGAAAACUGAUUGAUACUGAUGAUCCCCACUAGGAUUGAAUAUUUUCUAAAAAAUCAAGAAGAAAAUCAUCAUAUGUGAUGAAAUUUACAUAGUGUCAGAUAAUAGUAUAUUUAACAUUUUGAAUCAGCUAGUGACAAUUGUUGUUUUCUCCCGCCAAGAUUGUCAAUUUUAUUAACGAUUUAGAUCAGUACAAAGAAUUCGGUAAUGGCCAGAUUAAAAAAAAAACUGUCUUUGAGGGUUUUAGUAAGACCUUCACAAUCAAUCGUCAGAUUUUAAUCUUUUUUUUUCACAUACAAGAAGUUUUAUCUAUAUCUGUUGGAUUUAUUUUUUAAAAAAAAUAUUUGUAAUUAGUGAAAUUUGACUAAAAUCAGACAAAUAAACUGGCAUUAAUGGUUUUAGUUUGAACUUCAAGGUGAUUUCUGAUAUUUUCAUUUUCUUAUCAUAAAUACAUGAGCUUUUGAUUACUUAUAAUAGUCAUAAUAUUGAUUGCCAUAAUAUUGAUUGCCUUCGUACUGAUUCAUCUGAUUUUCAUUAAAAAAAAUUCCUUCCUUCUUAAAAAAAUCCAUAAUGACCAAGAUUUAUUCAUUUUGAUAAAGAUUUUAAAAAUAUAUGUGUUAAGAGAGGUAACUAGAGAACAUACUUCAUAACUGGUUUGUCAUUUCCUUUUUAAAAUUAUGCUCAAUACAUAUUUGACUGUACUUUAAUUGAUAAUUUGUUGUUAGUAUUUAGCAUCUGUGCUUUCAUUUAAAAUUUUAUAAAGUUUAAAUUUGAAUUUUGUUUAAUUUGCGCGAUUGUAUAUGAUGCAAAUUAUUCAGUUUUACUUUAUACUUUACGCACAAUUGUAAUGUAUUUUGAUCAAAUAUCAAAUUGUAAAUACAAUUGAUAAUGAUAAUCUUUUUAAAUUCUAAUUAAUUCCGCAUUAAAAAGGCAAUGAGUGACAAAAUGGAAAACAUCUUAAGAUUUUAAAAUAUAAGAUUUCAAAAUUGAAAUAUGUCAAAAAAGAUUAAGAUUUAAAAGGUUAAGAUAUAGAUUAGACAACGUGUUUGUUGAGAACCUAAAAGCUAUUCCAUGACUUUUUCUCAUCAAGUAUCAAGGAAAGAAAAUCACAGCAAUAAAAAAAAAUCUGAAGAAGUUUUUUUAAGUGAACGUGUCUGAAAUCUUCACAAGCUAGAAACUGAAAGUUUUAAGUAUCAAGAAAUAUUUUUAAGCAAUAGAAAAUUAACUAAAUGUUUAUAAUUAUAUCAACAGGGCUUAUAAAAUAAGUGCACCUAUAAAGGAUUAAAGGCGUAUAGAGCUUUACAUUUUAAUUUUUUAUUGGCAAUAAUAGGUGCAUUUGUAUUAAACAUCAAAGAUUACCUUAACAAAUAUUUAGUAAUUAAUAAAAUUACAACGCACUUAAUGAUUAAACGUUUUCAUAUUUUUGGUCGAAUAUAACUUCAUAUUAUCAAGAUAUUUAUGAGCUUAAAAUAUUUUUGAGCUAUUAAGUAACUUUAUUCACUUUUCAACUAUGAGUCGCAUGUUUGUUUAUUUUCCUUAUUUAUUAUAAGGGCUUCAUAUUAAACACAAAGGUAAACAUCUACACAAAAAUUGAUAUCAUAAAUAAACGAAUUUUACUGAGAGCGAAAUAAAAAAAAUGGAAAGACUUUUAAAUAUUUAUAUAUUAUAAGACUUUUAAAUAUUUAUAUAUUUAAUGUCUAGAUUUUGUUCUACUUAAGUGGUUCGUGGAGCAAACUUGUAAACUAAUUACUUUGUGCAGACGAUAUUUUAAGUUAGGAAAUCAAAUACAACCGUACUUUCUUCAACAAAGAAAAACUUGCUUUUUUUUUCAAAGGAUUUAAAUUUUUGUUUUACGAGGUAUGGGGCUUUGGCAAUAAUCAGAAAAAUAUGGUCCCAAAUAGUUAAGACAGCGGUCAAAAGUUGGACUCCUCAAUGUUUAUUUCGCUUUCUGCGCAUUUGCUCAUGUCAUUUGAAAUAUUUCAGAUAAUUAAAUAAUUCUUGCUCACAAUUAUGGCACUCUUUUAUCAAAAGAUAAUACUUAUACAAUUGUUUAAUGUUUUUUAUUAUUUUAUUUUAAUAAUCCAUCUCUGGCCAAGAAUCUGAGUUCAGCCAUACCCAUACGUCACACCCGUUUAAAGGGCGGACCAAUUCAUUCAUCCACAGAUCGCAAUUUUUACUUCAACCAGAGAACGAUCAAUGUCCAAUUCAGUACCCAAGAGGUAUAAUUUAUGAGAACAUGGAGAACUUUGUGACCCGACAUAUUUAACUUGCACCAGUCGCCACUUACAACACGGGGAGUCUUGUAUCCAAUGGAAUAUCCAAUAUUCAAAUAAAAUUCGUCAAAUAGUUCUUAGGAAAAGAAAAUUCAAACAUACGGCAGUUCAGAGUGAGAAAAGGGAAAUAUAUUAAGGGGCUGAAACUUUCGACCGCUCUUCAGUUUAAACUAUUGGGACAAUUGUUUUUGAGACUGCUGAUACCCCUCAUAUUUUGAGAACCAAAAAUUUAAAUCCGUCUAAAAAAGGUUUGUUUAUUCAGAGAAAGUACGUUUCUGAGUCUGAUGUUGUAACUUGUCGUCAGCACAAGCUAAUCUAUUUAAAGUUAAAUCCUCAAUUUGAUAACAUUGCAUCUCAGUAUGUGAAAGUGAAAACUCAAUCAUUUGAUUAAAGGCUAUUAAGUUCUAAUUUUAGUUUUGAGCACAGUACAAAUAUAUUUUCAUGGUGAUCAUCGUUAUCUAACUUAAAAAAUAUUUCCAUACUUGUUGAAUAAUUUUAAAAAUUAAUGCACUGAUUGAUUUUUCUAUGCUUUUGCAUUGCUAUGACGUAUACAAUAUCCUAAUGAAUAUAAAAA